AUGACGAAGGGAACAUCAUCAUUUGAAAAGCAUCGGAAUAAGACACACACGUUGUACUGCAGCUGUGGCUCUAAGGCCUACCAUCUCCAGAAGUUGACCUGUGGCAAAUCUGGCUACUCUGCCAAGAGAAAGAGAAAGUAUAACUGGAGUGCAAAAGGUAAAAGACUAAAUACCACAGGGACUGGUCAAAUGAGGCAUCUAAAAAUAGUAUAUAUCUAAGAUUCAGCCAUAGAUUCUGUGAAGGAACACCACCGAAACCCAAGAAGGCGGCUGUUAUAGCAUUCAAGUUCAUAUUAAGGAUUUCAGCAGUCACACGAUAA